ACCGGCUUAAUUUGCAUGGAAUAAUUAAUCAAUGACCAUCAUCACCACCGUCUUAUUUCUUGUGACACAAUUUUCUUGCUAACUUCUCCACACACAAAUUAAAUAUUUUGCAUUGCAUAUUUAAUCAUCACCGUCCUGCUUUUUCCAGGACUUUGUAGCUUAAUUUAAUUCUUUGCGCCAUUCCGCACUUUGCUGCCUUUUUGGUAGGACUGACUGUACGAGACUUGCUUACCUGUUGGUGGGAUGCGCAGAAAAGCCAAGUUAUCUCUCACUCAGAGACCAACACUCUCCCCGAGCUCACUUCUUUCAGAAAUUUAAUAACUUUUAAACAUUUCCACACAGUUCACAUUAAAAAAAAGAACAGAAGCGUAAAGAAAGCUGAACGUCGCUUGAAACUCAAACCGACUGCAUCCUGUCUCACCCUCAAAUUUAGAAACGAGUCGUUGAGAAAGGGAUCGAUUGUUGCUGACCGGAGAACUUCAGGAGGCAGGAUGAAUAAGGGGGAGGUCAGCCAUGAUAACCAAGCAGAGUCACCGUCAACUAGCAGGAGGUCAUCGAAGGCUAAGAAAUUACGGCAAGUUGGCAGAAAGCGUGGUCGUCUCGUGGUGGGGAAAGUCUUCCCAUGCAAAACAUGCCGUCGCCCCUUCCCCAACGGAACCAGCGCUCACCUCCACGCCCGCACCCACCUCAACUCUGACGAGCUGGAGCGGUCCUCACUUUUCCAUGAGAAAUGCCCCCACUGCGAAAGAGUGUUCUUCGAUCGUGGACACUUUACCAACCACGUGAACGCGCACGAAGGUCGCAAGAACUACGCCUGGCCCACCUGCAAAAAGGGGUUCACCCAGAAAGCACACAUCUCUUCGUCCAUCUGAGUCGCGAGGAGCGCGCGGCGGUGCGGCAGCGCUGGCGACACGGCUGCUACUUCUGCACCAAACUGUUCCAAAGUCCAUCUCGUCUCGCUGGUCAUCUUGUGAUUCACACGAAGGAAAAAGUGAGCUGGGAGUGUCACGUGUGUCGAAAAAGUUUCUCCACCAAACAAAUCCUGUCAAACCAUCGGUUCACCCACCUCUCCGAAGACGAGAAGGUCGCCCUCGUGAAGCAGGGGACGAGUCGAGUCUGCCUUUUUUGCCGCAAGAUAACCGCAAGAUAACCGCACUUAUCAGAUUCACCUGGUCUCCCACACGGAGGAGAAACCUUUCCCCUGCGACCAGUGUGGGAAGCUAUUCCCUCGUAGUAAUAGCUUAAACUUGCACAAGCUCAGUCACACUUUGAACCCAAAACUGUUCAAAUGCGAAGACUGCGACAAAGCGUUCACUAUUUAAACACAAUCUGGGCAUCCACAAGAAGACGGUUCUCCGGAAGCGGAAAGACUUCGCGUGCCCCGAGAGCGCCAAAAAGUUUGGCACGAAGGGUGCCAUGGUGCGACAUGUGAGCGGUGUUCAUGCCAAAAGGAGACACCCCUGCCCCCAUUGUGACCAGACAUUCUCGAGGAAAGACUAUCUUGGGAGACACUUGAAGAAGCUUCAUCCCCCAGAAUAGAGUCGUACAUACGUCUGCCAAUUAACCCCUCGUCAAAAGAUGACAUGUUUCCAUACUUUAGAUUUUUAUAUGCUCCCCAUUUCACCAUUUGUGACGAGAUAAUUAUUCCAGAUAAAUAUGGCGUAGUUGUAAACAGGACUUUUGUUACCGUUUUGACCAUGAUGAUUUUUAAGCAGUAAAGUAAUUCUAUUUUAUGUAAAA